CCUACGGGAGGCAGCAGUGGGGGAUAUUGCACAAUGGGGGAAACCCUGAUGCAGCGACGCCGCGUGAGUGAAGGAGUGUUUCGGCGCGUAAAGCUCUAUCGGCAGGGAAGAAGGAGGACGGUACCUGACUAAGAAGCCCCGGCUAACUACGUGCCAGCAGCCGCGGUAAUACGUAGGGGGCAAGCGUUAUCCGGAUUUACUGGGUGUAAAGGGGGCGCAGACGGCAGCGCAAGCCUGGAGUGAAAGCCCGUGGCUCAACCCCGGGACUGCUUUUGAAACUGCUCGACUGGAGUGCUGGAGGGGCAAGUGGAAUUCCUGGUGUAGCGGUGAAAUGCGUAGAUAUUAGGAGGAACACCAGUGGCGAAGGCGGCUUACUGGACUGCAACUGACGUUGAGGCCCGAAAGCGUGGGGAGCAAACAGGAUUAGAUACCCUGGUAGUC
rnacentral:rRNA from 1 species